rnacentral:rRNA from 1 species
CAGUAGCCGCGGGAAUACGGAGGGUGCAAGCGUUAUCCGGAUUCACUGGGUUUAAAGGGUGCGUAGGCGGAUCUGUAAGUCAGUGGUGAAAUCUCCAGGCUUAACCUGGAAACUGCCGUUGAUACUAUAGGUCUUGAAUUUUGUGGAGGUUAGCGGAAUAUGUCAUGUAGCGGUGAAAUGCAUAGAUAUGACAUAGAACACCAAUUGCGAAGGCAGCUGGCUACACAACUAUUGACGCUGAGGCACGAAAGCGUGGGGAUCAAACAGGAUUAGAUACCCCCGUAGUCCCUGUCCUCUUAUA